UUAGAUUUUAUUUAUUAAUUUUAUUUAUUUAUUUAAUUUAUUUAAUAAAAAUAAUUUUAAAAUUUUAAGUUUUAGUAUUUUAUAAAGAAAAAAUAAUUUUAAUUAUAGUUUAUUUGUAUUGUAAAAGAAAAUUGAAAUAAUUUGAAAAAUUUUUAUUUUAAAAGAAAAUUUAAUUUAUUGUACCUUGUGUAUCAGGGUUUAUUAAAUAAAAAAUUAUUAUAUUAAUUUUUCUCGAAUUUUAAAGAUUUAAUUAUAUAUAAAAGUUACUGUGGAAUAAUUAUUUUUAAUAUAUAAUUAGAAAUGAAAUGUUAAUCGUUUUAAAAUAUAUCUAGUUUUUUAAGAAAUAAAUUUAAUUUAGACUUAUAAAUGUAAAUUAUUUAAUUAAUAUAAAUAAUUUAAUUUAUAAGAUUAAUAUUUUAAGGGAUUAGCUUUAAAAUAAAUUUUUAAAUUUUAAAUUAAUUAUUUAAUAAAUAUAAGCUUAAAAAUAGCUAUUAUUAAUAAAUUUGUUAUAAUUUAUUUUAAAAAUUUAAUUAUUUAUUAUAAAAUUAAAUUAUUUAUUAAAAUAUAAAUUUUAAUAAUAAAAAUUUAUAAAUUAUGAUAAAAUUAGUAUAUAAAAUUUUUAUAAAUAAUUAUUUAUGAAAGGUUUAAAUAAGGAAUUCGGCAAAAUAUAUAUUCACCUGUUUAUCAAAAACAUGUCUUUUUGAAUUAAAUUUAAAGUCUAACCUGCCCACUGAUAUAAAUUAAAGGGCCGCAGUAUUUUGACUGUGCGAAGGUAGCAUAAUCACUAGUCUUUUAAUUGGAGGCUUGUAUGAAUGGUUGAAUGAGAUAUAUACUGUCUUUUUUAAAAUUAUAUAGAAUUUUAUUUUUUAAUUAAAAAGUUAAAAUAAAAUUAAAGGACGAGAAGACCCUAUAGAUCUUUAUUUUUGUUAUUUAUAAAUUAAAAAGAAUUUUAAAAUUUAUAAUUUAAUAAAAAAUUUUAUUGGGGUGAUAUUAAAAUUUAAAAAACUUUUAAAAUUUAUUAACAUAAAUAUAUGAAUAAAUGAUCCAGUUUUAUUGAUUAAAAAUUUAAGUUACCUUAGGGAUAACAGCGUAAUUUUUUUUUAGAGUUCAUAUCGACAAAAAAGAUUGCGACCUCGAUGUUGGAUUAAGAGUUAUUUUUAGGUGUAGAAGUUUAAAGUUUAGGUCUGUUCGACCUUUGAAUUCUUACAUGAUCUGAGUUCAAACCGGCGUAAGCCAGGUUGGUUUCUAUCCUUAAUUAAUUAUUAUGUUAUAGUACGAAAGGACCUAAUAUAAGAAAUAUAGAUUUUAAUAAUAUGAUUAAUAUUAAUAUUAG
rnacentral:rRNA from 1 species